GGUUAAGCGACUAAGCGUACACGGUGGAUGCCCUGGCAGUCAGAGGCGAUGAAGGGCGUGCUAAUCUGCGAUAAGCGCCGGUAAGGUGAUAUGAACCGUUAUAACCGGCGAUACCCGAAUGGGGAAACCCAGUGUGAUUCGUCACACUAUCAUUAACUGAAUCCAUAGGUUAAUGAGGCGAACCGGGGGAACUGAAACAUCUAAGUACCCCGAGGAAAAGAAAUCAACCGAGAUUCCCCCAGUAGCGGCGAGCGAACGGGGAGGAGCCCAGAGCCUGAAUCAGCAUGUGUGUUAGUGGAAGCGUCUGGAAAGGCGCGCGAUACAGGGUGACAGCCCCGUACACAAAAGCGCAUAUGCUGUGAGCUCGAUGAGUAGGGCGGGACACGUGGUAUCCUGUCUGAAUAUGGGGGGACCAUCCUCCAAGGCUAAAUACUCCUGACUGACCGAUAGUGAACCAGUACCGUGAGGGAAAGGCGAAAAGAACCCCGGCGAGGGGAGUGAAAAAGAACCUGAAACCGUGUACGUACAAGCAGUGGGAGCCCCACCACUAAGCCAGUGGUGAACUCCACAUACGCAUCCUUUGCUGAGGAGACGGUUAACGGAGCGAAAGCGACGUUCAACCUCAAAAGAAGCAGAGGGGGCUUAGUGGUGGGGUGACUGCGUACCUUUUGUAUAAUGGGUCAGCGACUUAUAUUCUGUAGCAAGGUUAACUGUAUAGGGGAGCCGGAGGGAAACCGAGUCUUAACCGGGCGUUAAGUUGCAGGGUAUAGACCCGAAACCCGGUGAUCUAGCCAUGGGCAGGUUGAAGGUUGGGUAACACUAACUGGAGGACCGAACCGACUAAUGUUGAAAAAUUAGCGGAUGACCUGUGGCUGGGGGUGAAAGGCCAAUCAAACCGGGAGAUAGCUGGUUCUCCCCGAAAGCUAUUUAGGUAGCGCCUCGUGAAUUCAUCUCCGGGGGUAGAGCACUGUUUCGGCUAGGGGGCCAUCCCGGCUUACCAACCCGAUGCAAACUGCGAAUACCGGAGAAUGUUAUCACGGGAGACACACGGCGGGUGCUAAUGUCCGUCGUGAAGAGGGAAACAACCCAGACCGCCAGCUAAGGUCCCAAAGUCAUGGUUAAGUGGGAAACGAUGUGGGAAGGCCCAGACAGCCAGGAUGUUGGCUUAGAAGCAGCCAUCAUUUAAAGAAAGCGUAAUAGCUCACUGGUCGAGUCGGCCUGCGCGGAAGAUGUAACGGGGCUAAACCAUGCACCGAAGCUGCGGCAGCGACACCGUGUGUUGUUGGGUAGGGG
rnacentral:rRNA from 1 species